GAGUGCUAAAAUCAAAACAUAAGCAAUACAAUUUUUUAAUUUCAGUAUUUUAAAGUACAGAAAGUGGAAACUAUGAAUAUCAAAUACAAAUUUAAACAAAGCCACUUGUCCUCCCCUAGAAUAAUCAAUGUGAACUACUUAUAGAAACUUACAAAUUUAAAGUAAAAUCGAAACAAAAUAAAUACUGUACAUACACUUUCCCUGCCUGCAGGCAAAAGAGGAUGGGAAAUACUGUUAUGAAUUGAAAAAAAUGCUCUUAAAGCUGCAGCAUCCCAUUUCCCAGCCAAAUACUUAACACAGUAGUGCGUUUCUGUAAAAAGGAAGACACACAUACACCGACCCCUAGUGAGCAGACCAGCUAAUAUUUUCAGAGACAUCAGAAGGAAAGAUAGAAAUUAGGCUACGAGAGUAGAAAAAGGAGAGGAAAAGACAAACGGGCCAGCAAAACCUUACUACAAAACUAGUAAUACAGCCAAGAACUAGCCCCUUUUUCAUCUUUUUUCAAAUUCCAUGGUUCUUUUAAAAAAGAAUUAAAAAAAAAAAAAUUAAAAUAAAAAAAGGAUUCACCAAAGCAUUGGCAGCAAUAGACAUUUCCCAGCAGAAGUGACAAUACAUAUCAAUAUAAUCUCUUAAAGUGAUCCCUUUCAUUCCCUUCCCACAGCAUGAAACUCUUAUGGCUUAAUUUAUAUUAAAAGUAGAAAAAGUCUUUUUUUCCAAAUAGAAAUGCAGCCUGUGAAAGACAUGCAUUUCCUUAUCAGUGCUACUUAUAUUUCCCAUCCACUGCAUGAUUUCUCACUCAUACGCUCCCACAAAGAGGGUUACUAGGGGGUUUUUUGUUGGGGUAUAUUUUUUUCUUUUUGGAAAAAUGGAUGUUGCAGCUUUUAAUCUUGUUUAACCACAAAUAGUAAGGCCCUUGGUUCCAUUUACAUUUCUUCUGUAAAAGAGUAGCUCUGGGCUCACUCAGCCUCAGAGCUACAAACAGCUUUUAAUGGUCUGGAAGUAUUACGUGAAUGAAACUCUGGAAAGACACUAGAUUUGGGGGUCAUGGUUGGGGUGUGAAGGGAUAGGAGGGCAUGUGGAGCCUACAUAGGGCACUAGUUACAGGCUUGUAGUACCGGGUUGUUCUAGUUUCAGUUCUACUUAGUCUCCACAAUUACCAAAGCAAGAUUCACAUCAGCUCCAACUCUGAAACCCUGCAAAAAUCUUCAACAUUUACAACUUAAUGGCCUUGUGAAUGAAGGUAGCUUAUGCCAUAUAGCAAAGCCUAGGGAAAGCUGAAGCCUCUAAAAUGUGAUCAUGACACUGUGCUCUUACAUGUCUACUAAACAUAACACAAGCACUUCAACUACCAAAAUAAGAAAGGCCCCAAACCUCCCAUGUGAUCAGAAAGCAACAAUUUAAACUCUCAACACCUAACCCUUUCAAAAUUGUCUUUAAGAAUGGAUUCAUGUGGAGUACUAUAGGUUGCAUAGGUAAUCUACCUCAGAGGUCAACAAAGGCUACCUUGUAGCCAGGGUUUAUUAGCAAGUAUAGUAGGAGAAGAAAAGGGAAAGUUGCUGGAAGAGUCUUUGAUAUAGUUUUUUCUAGGUGGUCUUUCCAUUUUCCUGAUUCUAUUUUGUCUUUUUCUGCAAUUGCAGGAACUUGAGAACCUAAGAGAAUGGGAAAACCUCUACGGUAUUUCUUGUCCUACUGUUCUGUCUACAAAAUUAAAAAAAAAAAAAAAUUAAGUUUUAUGCCAAAUCCAAGUUCUCUGACUUUUCAAAAAAGAUUAUCCUUGAAAACGAGUUACCAUAGCAGGCUUAAUUCUCUUUGUUGUCCAGUCAGUGUUCCCUACUCCCUCCCUCUUCCACCCCAAGUGAGACAGCAAGGAAAAAAAAAAUAGGGCUUUUUCUCUCCACUACAACAACACAAGGUUCAGUCCAUCUACAGAAAGAUUGGUGCAGUAGUGUUUUCGUCUAGAACACAAUAAAAAUAUCCCUACAUACAUGUACACAAAACAAGUGAGGUCACCACAUCCUCUUCAUGAGCUACCAGGAGACUUCUCCCUGUCUCCUCCCCCCCCAUUUUUUUUUUUAAUUUUUUUUUUUCCUUUCUCUCCCUCCCCCCACCCUUUUUUUUUUUUUUUUAAUACUGCUCAUCAUGGCAAUUUCUUUAAAAUUACUUGUUCUGAGGUGGAACAUCAGAAUUAACUUCUACUGGAAGCAUGGAUAUCUGAAGAAAAUGGGAAUGAACCUCUGCCCGUUGACAGCCUGUGAAGAGACUAUUACAUAAACUGAUGACAGUGGAGAGCCACUUUUGCAAAAACAACCCAAAAAACCCAAAAAACCAUGUAGAAAGUAAAGAAAGAAUAAAACCAAGAAGAAAUAAUAUAUAUGGGUCCAGCCACAUCUGUGUUCCAAUAAGUAAGAUACAGAUAAAUAACGCGGAUGGUUAGAGAAGAGACUUUGUAUAAGCCAGUCACACGUACAAGAAAGCAUACUCCAUAUUUUAAAAUUCCUUGCUCCAGAUUCUAUUCUGGCAUACUUCUAUUUCAGUUAAGUGUUCUCAAAAAUCUGCCUUGCAAGAGAGAAAGCUCAUUCUUCAUUCUGCUCUGAAUGUGAUUGCUGCCUUAAACUGGAAUUUUCUAUCCUGAAAAACUACACAGCCAGCAAGAACGAAACAGUUUGGUUCAAUAUGCUAAAGCUAAAACAGUUUCCAAAGCCUGGCAGGCAUUAAUCCAUUUGCUCAAGCUUAAGCACAGAGGGUAUAUACACAGUUUAUUUCUUUGACUUGCUUUGGUGAGAACAUACUAGAAGAUAGUUAAAAUAUUCUCUUUUAUCUAUUUCCAUCUGGAAAACAGCACCUGAGAACAGCAAGUACUUAACAGUCACUUUCAGCCCCUGUAGAAGUAACCUCUUAGCUUAUCUUCUACUUUUUAGAAAUCCUUUGCUACCUCUGCUCCCCACAGGCUAAACAAGGCUGAGAGCUUACAUUCAAUUAAGAAAAAAAAAAAAA
ensembl:lncRNA